GUGCUCACUUUGGCAGCAUAUAUACUAAAAUUGGAAUGAUAUAGAGAAGAUUAGCAUGGCCCCUGUACAAGGAAGACACGCAAAUUCAUGAAGUAUUCUAUAUUGAA